AAUGCAAAGGAUCAUUCAGCACUGUAGCAAUUACAGUACACAGGAAUUGUUACGAUUUCCUAAACUUCAUGAUGCCAUAGUUGAAGUGGUGACUUGUCUUCUUCGUAAAAGGUUGCCUGUUACAAAUGAAAUGGUACAUAACUUAGUGGCAAUUGAGCUGGCUUAUAUCAACACAAAACAUCCAGACUUUGCUGAUGCUUGUGGGCUAAUGAACAAUAAUAUAGAGGAACAAAGGAGAAACAGGCUAGCCAGAGAAUUACCCUCAGCUGUAUCACGAGACAAGUCUUCUAAAGUUCCAAGUGCUUUGGCACCUGCCUCCCAGGAGCCCUCCCCCGCUGCUUCUGCUGAGGCUGAUGGCAAGGUCUGUUCUGAUUCUUAAUCUAAGCCUGCAUGCCUAGUUCUCUGGUACAACAUAAUCUUCUGGAAACAAUACACUGAAUAGAAGAAUAUUAAUAUGGGAUACUGUGCUAAGGUCAGAUCACUUUAGUCUAAUAUAUAUUUUAAAAUUAUAUAACAAUGCAAUGCAUAGUUUAUAUAGUUGACAUGCUUUUGCUUGCAAUAUAGAAGAUG
rnacentral:sRNA from 1 species